UUUUUUUAAUAGUGAAGCAAUACCUCCAGGCGUUACCUUUUACAGACUUUGUGGUAUAAAAUAAGCACCAGGCAUAAUCUCUCCGUCAUUUUGACUAAAACGAAAAUCGCGAAAUGUUGUCCCAGACUUUGUUGUUCGGAGCUCUUCUUUUGUCGUUUCUAGUUGCAGAUCAGCUGGAAGUAGUACACGCCUUUUCGGAAGAAGGAAGAAAAGUUAACAAUCGUUACAUGAUGGGACUUCGCGCCAAUUUUCGCCGAAGGAUUACAUAUCUCAACAACUUGAUUUCGGACAAAGAAUUCCCUAAACAAUCAACCAGAACCGCUGGCAAGUGGAUUAGGUACAGUUUUCCAAUCGUUUUGAUUGGCUAUCUUGAUUACUUUGUUGGCGGAAUA